rnacentral:rRNA from 1 species
UACAUAGGUGGCAAGCGUUGUCCGGAUUUACUGGGCGUAAAGGGCGUGCAGGCGGUUUGUUAAGUCUAGGGUGAAAGCUCCCGGCUCAACUGGGAGAGGUCCUUGGAUACUGGCGAACUUGAGGGAUGCAGAGGAAAGUGGAAUUCCCGGUGUAGUGGUGAUAUGCGUAGAUAUCGGGAGGAACACCAGUGGCGAAGGCGGCUUUCUGGGCAUUUCCUGACGCUGAGACGCGAAAGCGUGGGGAGCGAACCGG